ACGAACGCUGGCGGCGUGCUUAACUCCUGCAAGUCGUACGGUAAGGCCCUUUCGGGGGUACACGAGUGGCGAACGGGUGAGUAACACGUGAGUAACCUGCCCACAACUUUGGGAUAACGCAAGGAAACUGGUGCUAAUACUGGAUAUGUGCUCCUGCUGCAUGGUGGGGGUUGGAAAGCUCCGGCGGUUGUGGAUGGACUCGCGGCCUAUCAGCUUGGUUGUGGGGUAUUGGCCUACCAAGGCGGCGAGGGGUAGGCGGCCUGAGAGGGUGAACGGCCACAUUGGGUCCGAGGUACGGCCGCGGCUCCUACGGGAGGCAGAAGGGGGGAAGAUUGCAGAAGGGGCGCAAGCCUGAUGCAGCAACGCCGCGGGCGGGAAGACGGCCUUCGGGUUGUAAACCGCUUUCAGCAGGGACGAAGCUUUUUGUGACGGUACCUGCAGAAGAAGCACCGGCUAACUACGUG
rnacentral:rRNA from 1 species